CGACUAAGCGUACACGGUGGAUGCCCUGGCAGUCAGAGGCGAUGAAGGGCGUGCUAAUCUGCGAUAAGCGCCGGUAAGGUGAUAUGAACCGUUAUAACCGGCGAUACCCGAAUGGGGAAACCCAGUGUGACUCGUCACACUAUCAUUAACUGAAUCCAUAGGUUAAUGAGGCGAACCGGGGGAACUGAAACAUCUAAGUACCCCGAGGAAAAGAAAUCAACCGAGAUUCCCCCAGUAGCGGCGAGCGAACGGGGAGGAGCCCAGAGCCUGAAUCAGCAUGUGUGUUAGUGGAAGCGUCUGGAAAGGCGCGCGAUACAGGGUGACAGCCCCGUACACAAAAGCGCAUGUGCUGUGAGCUCGAUGAGUAGGGCGGGACACGUGGUAUCCUGUCUGAAUAUGGGGGGACCAUCCUCCAAGGCUAAAUACUCCUGACUGACCGAUAGUGAACCAGUACCGUGAGGGAAAGGCGAAAAGAACCCCGGCGAGGGGAGUGAAAAAGAACCUGAAACCGUGUACGUACAAGCAGUGGGAGCACAGGUUUACCUGUGUGACUGCGUACCUUUUGUAUAAUGGGACAGCGACAAAUAUUCUGUAG
rnacentral:rRNA from 1 species